GAUGAACGCUGGCGGCGUGCCUAAUACAUGCAAGUCGAGCGAACAGAUGAGGAGCUUGCUCCUCUGACGUUAGCGGCGGACGGGUGAGUAACACGUGUAAAACCUACCUAUAAUACUGGGAUAACUUCGGGAAACCGGAGCAAAUCCCGUAUAAUAUAUUGAUCCGCAUUGUUGAUUAGAGAAAGACGGUUUUUCUGGCACUUAUAGCUGGAUCUCCGCCUCAUUAGCUAGUUGUGAAGUUAACGGCCUUUGAAGGCAACGAUGCGUAGACGAACGGAGAGACGGGUAGGCGACCCUAGAGCUGGACCACGGACAAGGGUACUAAGGGACGGAGCAGUAGGGAACGUUACGCAAUGGGCGGAAGCCUGGCGGAGCAGCGCCGCGUGAGUGAUGAAGGUCUUCGGAUCGUAAAACCCGGUUAUUAGGGAAGAACAAAUGUGUAAGUAACUAUGCACGUCUUGACGGUACCGAAUCAGAAAGCCACGGCUAACUACGUG
rnacentral:rRNA from 1 species